rnacentral:lncRNA from 1 species
UGACUUUUGUCAAACAGAUACGUAUCGAUCUGAUUAAUCUAAAAUGUAAUUAAAGUUUAUUUCCUCCAAUAUAACAACAAUUGAGGAUUUUAACUAUAUAUGUCUAAGUUUUCAGGACACAUGAUAACUGAAACCCCCUAGAAAUUUCAACUGGCUUACACAAUCACUCUCUCGUACAUGUGAGAAGUGCAUGGUAUGUACCAGUGCUCC